rnacentral:lncRNA from 10 species
AUUCGAGACCUUCUGGGUGGGAAGGAGGCAGCCAUGUGGUGAUCUGGGGAAGAGUGCUGCAAGCAGAAAGGCAAGUAAAAACAAAAGCCCUGAGGCAGAAAUGUGCUCCUUAUGCUUAAGAAACACCGUGAAGGCCAACGUGGUUGGAGCAAUGUGAGCAAGAAGAAUAGAGGGGCCUUGGGAACAUAGGUAGCUGAGUCCUCAUGGAUCAAGCCAGCAGGUUCUCUUCAACACCCCAGCCCUGGAGAGCCGCAGAUUGGACAACGGGCAGACUUUGUUGAACAGAUGAACAACUGUGGCUAAAUCUGUUUUGGAAAAAAAAAAAAAAAAGACCUGAAGCAAUUGAUAAACAAGAGGCUGAGGUCAGUGUGAAGGAAGAAUAAAUGAGGCCAGAUUGGAGAACGUUGAAAAGCACAUAUGGCAGGCAGAUCUCUCUUUAAUUUACAGGUGAUGUCUGCUGGGACAAUGGCGCACAAGCAGAGGAGAUAUUCAUCAGCUGUACAUCUGCUGUUCCUUGCUGCCCCACAAGCCCAGAAUUCUGGUUGUCUUACAAUGUUCGGAGGUUCAGUGACAUGUGUGUUUCAUCUUUGAUUGGUAAGUGGGGGUGCUGACAGCCCUGAGAGGUCACAUUUUCCAUUCAAACCAGAACUUGUUUUGAAUGCAGAAAAAAAGGCAAUGGCAUUCUAAAAAAUGUGAAUGACCAGGGAAAUGGAUCAUAUAUCUUUUCUUACUUGUUAUAUUUCCCUGUAUUAGCUAAUCACAUAUGCUGAACAUGAAGACGUAGAAGAAAUGGGAAAUAUUGGGCAAUGUAUAGUUCUUUUUCCUUUCAGCCAUUCCUUGCUCAUCACUAAGCUGAAGAUAGAGUGUUGGUAGAAUGCUUACAUAUCAAGGAAUAAAAGCAAUUGAGCUGGUUGUGCAGUGUUUCCAAUAUUCUGGUAAGAACAAA